AUUGAACGCUGGCGGCAGGCCUAACACAUGCAAGUCGAACGGUAACAGGAAGACGCUUGCUUCUUUGCUGACGAGUGGCGGACGGGUGAGUAAUGUCUGGGAAACUGCCUGAUGGAGGGGGAUAACUACUGGAAACGGUAGCUAAUACCGCAUAACGUCGCAAGACCAAAGAGGGGGACCUUCGGGCCUCUUGCCAUCGGAUGUGCCCAGAUGGGAUUAGCUAGUAGGUGGGGUAACGGCUCACCUAGGCGACGAUCCCUACCUGGUCUGAGAGGAUGACCAGCCACACUGGAACUGAGACACGGUCCAGACUCCUACGGGAGGCAGCAGUGGGGAAUAUUGGACAAUGGGCGAAAGCCUGAUGCAGCCAUGCCGCGUGUAUGAAGAAGGCCUUCGGGUUGUAAAGUACUUUCAGCGGGGAGGAAGGGAGGAAAGUUAAUACCUUGGCUCAUUGACGUUACCCGCAGAAGAAGCACCGGCUAACUCCGUG
rnacentral:rRNA from 1 species